AUUUAGUAAUCUUCUUGACUGUUAUUUAACUAUGAACUUUUUCAACGUUUCAGAUUUUACUAUAUAUUAAUCCUCCCAUGUAUUGAUGAUUUCUCUUCAGUCUUCACGAAUCUCACAAAAACUUGCCUUCCCACAAUCCUAUUUGGAAACAACUUUCGCUUCCAUGUUUAGAAGGGCAUUUAUGUUUCGAAGCCAUGGCUGGAAGAUCUACAGAUUUAUCGGACAAGCUAUUGAAGGAUACGAUGGACAGGAGGAUGGAAUCAAAUUUUUGGGUUCGUGGAAAUCUGACCGAAGAUGCUUUAGAUUGAAUCAAUGAUAUUUGUUUGUUUCCAUGAAUGCCUCCGAUGAAUCCAAGUCAGGUCUUUUGUUCUGGAAGGAAAACAAAUUCGCCGUUCUUGCUUAAGAAUACGUAUCUUCUGAGAAAAUUGUCCAGAUCGCCAAAUGUUCGAUCCAAUGAAACCAAUUGAAGGGAACAAUAUGGUGCAUAUGCUCUAAAACAAUUUGAUCUUGGGAGGAUAUUUUCUGCGACAAGUGUUCUAAUAAGCUCCAACGUGGAGACUUGAGAAUCUUCUUUCACAUGCGAAAAAUGUUGUCACGUACACGUUGCUGAUGUUUUCAGGUAACCCUUAACCAUUUCUACUUUUACCUCGCUUUAACCUGGUAACAAGUGCUGUCAGCGAACUAACCAUGUCUCUGGAAUUUCAUACUUGAACUGCCUGCGUGUACGGUUUGGAGAUAGCUGUCUCCGAUGGAACAGUCUCCACAGUGUUUGGAUUCGAUGCUGAGAUGACACGGCUUAAAAAUAUCUGGGCCGUAGAGUUUGGACUAACACAUAUGAUUCAAACGUAGCGUCAAGGUGUGCAAGACCCCUGACUUACCAACAUCGCAGCAACUUAGAGAGCGCGUCCACCUAUGCAAAUAGUUUCGGUGAACCGGCUGAGAAAAGAUGCUGUCCCAUGCGGGUUUAGGUCAUGUUCCUUGCUUCCCAACAAUUGCCCAUAAGUUCCAGCCUCUGCCUUAUGUUCAGUCCAAACCUAACAAGUAUUCGCCACAGUUACCGUUACGGUUUGACCACUGACACAAUGUCAUUCAUCAUGUAUCAAUUUAUGAACUGGUGGACCAUAUUUCUGUAAGUUAAGGUGAGAAAGCUUCUUGCAGCA